rnacentral:rRNA from 1 species
CGUUGCGUCAAAAUCAAUCCUGAAUGGUGUUGCGAUCUCGCCCGAUCUCAAAGGCUAAGCAGUUUUGAGCCUGGUUAGUAAUUUGUUGGAAGAUUUCAUGGAAAUACCAGCCGUUGGAGGCU